UAGAAUUUGGUGUAUUGGUAGCACGAAGAAUUUUGAGUUCUUGGGAAUAGGUUCGAUUCCUAUAGCUCUAG
rnacentral:tRNA from 1 species